rnacentral:rRNA from 1 species
AGUGAACGCUGGCGGUAGGCCUAACACAUGCAAGUCGAACGGCAGCACAGUAAGAGCUUGCUCUUACGGGUGGCGAGUGGCGGACGGGUGAGGAAUACAUCGGAAUCUACUUUUUCGUGGGGGAUAACGUAGGGAAACUUACGCUAAUACCGCAUACGACCUACGGGUGAAAGCAGGGGAUCUUCGGACCCUGCGCGAUUGAAUGAGCCGAUGUCGGAUUAGCUAGUUGGCGGGGUAAAGGCCCACCAAGGCGACGAUCCGUAGCUGGUCUGAGAGGAUGAUCAGCCACACUGGGACUGGGACACGGUCCAGACUCCUACGGGAGGCAGCAGUGGGGAAUAUUGGACAAUGGGCGCAAGCCUGAUCCAGCCAUACCGCGUGGGUGAAGAAGGCCUUCGGGUUGUAAAGCCCUUUUGUUGGGAAAGAAAAGCAGCAGGUUAAUACCCCGCUGUUCUGACGGUACCCAAAGAAUAAGCACCGGCUAACUUCGUGC